GAACUGUUUUCGCCCGGCUAAUGGACGUUUUGUAAUUUCGGAUAUUAUUAACAUUACACGUCCAGAUGGACGGCGGUGGUCGGACGGUUUUUAAUUUAACUUCGUGUCGAUAACAAUAAUAUUAUAAUAAUAUUAUUCACCUGUGCGUAUACGCAUAUAGGUGUUUAUAAAAGGGUGGCUCUUGUAGUAUCAUAUAUAAUAAUAUAUAUAGCGGUUGUACAGUAUACGAAAAAAAUAUUUUACGAUAGAAAAAUGUCUACGGGUAUAAUAAACAAGAGAAUCCGCAGACAAAAAAAAAGAGAUAAAU